CUUAUCCGGAUUCCUAGUUCGCAGACCAAAAAAUAAAAAUAAAGAGUCAUUUCCUUUUGAAUAGGGAUUCAAUAAGGUGACUUGGAACACCCAAACUCGAUUCCAAGUGGCGACUCUAUAAAUAAAAUAAUCCCUAUUCAAAAUGUCACUUCAAUUGGAAAAACCCAUUUUCUCUAAAACCAACUCCCUAGCGGGGUCGGAUGCGGUGAAAAACAGGGGUGUGACACUACUCAUUGAUGCCACAUCCGUAUAUAGUUUCUCAAGACCCACAUUCAACCUAGCCACAUCUCGGAACAUAGUUUCAAGUUGAGCCAAAAUGAGAUUGAUGGCAUUACUAUCCAUUGUUUGAGCAUUUGAAGCCUCGGGUUCCAUUAUGAUGGUAUCGGAAUUAAUCCUUCAAGUUAUAGUCCAACAUAUCACCAAAUUAGUCCACUAUGUCAUACAGAACAAUACAUCACAAAACCUACAAAAAAAACACAUUAGUUCAAACAACCUCACUAUUCUCUCACUCGCGUUGUGGCCUCACACUUGAUGUCACAAAUGUUUGCAAGUUGGCUUGUAGUUGUGAUGAGAUAAAGAGUAAAUCAACUCCUUAGUCAGAAUGGAUUAUUUGUUGGACGACUCAAGUAAGUAAUAUUCAAACUUGAACCAAGAAGCACUACGAUUAUAAAAACGACAAAAGCACAAAAGAAAUGUAGACACGAACAAUGGAUUCUAAUGACUAAUUGACAAUCUUGUAAGAACUUACUAGUUUGUUAAUAAGUUCUAGGAUCAAUUAAUGAAACCAAGAAUCAAUAAUUAGAAACUAGAAAAUCCAAAUUUGAGCUUAAUAUUGAUGUGAAUAGUAACAAGUGGUGAUGUGGCAGCAAGCAAUUUGUCUCGGGCCCACACAAUUUAGUCAUAAUUUUGAAUCUUCAAUUUUUACACAAUUUAGAAUUGGAGAAUAAUUGGUUUUAGAGGGAAAAAUACAAGUUUUUGAGUCCUUUGUAAGUUUAAUCUCAAAAGAUGAUCUUGACCUCUACUAGUUCCACUAAACAAGGCUCCUUGAUUUAAGGAUAGUAGUUGGAAAAGUUGAUGUCAAGUCUAGGAAGUAAUGGUUCAAGUAUUCUCACAAACACACUUUACAACUUUUAUCUUUACUCCUUUGAAUCUAUUUGCACCUUUUUGUUGGUUUAAGUAUGAGAAGAGAUGAAGAACAAUAUGAACACAACAACAACCUUUAAAGAGCACAUCAACAACACAUCAACACGUCUACUAAUCUUCAAUGACAAGGCUCAACACAAGGCCAAUCUUCAAGUCACCACAACAAUAAUGUCAAUAUUAUAAGCUCAACUUUAGAUAUACACACCUUUUGUGUUGGUGAGAAAGAAACCAACACAAGAAACACACUAGAAAAAUAAAAAUCUACUAGAUCUAGUACAAAUCUCGGCCAAGACAAUUUCACAAGAUCAACAAACUUUUGGCCAAGGUCUUCAACACAAGCUUAGUGGUCUCUUCGCAAGAUUGAUUUUGUUAGCCUUGAGCUUUGAUACCAAAUGAUACAAGAUCGACCAAGAGCACACAAAAUAUUGUGGUGUUUAUACCUAAUUUCCAGCGACCCACAAACUAUAUUAUCAACACAAUAUGAGAACAACAAUAUUACACCAACAAGAACUCAUGGGUUACAUUAACCACAACAAGAAAUCUGAAGCUUACAACAACAAUACAAGAUAGAUAGUUAGACCAAAUGAAGGGACAAUCUUAAGAACCUAAGAAUUGCUACACUCUUGGACCCUUAACACUACCCACGACACAAACCUAACUCUAACGUUGACACAAGAGGUAUGUUACCUCCUCUAAACACCAACGUAUCAAGCCAACAAUGCAAAAACAAGUGAAUCUUCACUUAUCUAGCCCUAGUUUCGGUUGGAGCUCUUAAGAGAGAACUAAAGUGUUGCAAAUGCUACAAGUCUCAAAAUAUGAUCAGCUAAGUCUCAAAAACCCUAAGUUGGUCUAUUUAUAUUACAACACAAAAUAAGACACAAAUGAUAAAAGUGCCCCUUUAAUUAAAAUGCUUUAACAGGCCGCCCAUGGAGUGCAUACAUAGGGCGGUUUUGGACUUCAUUUACACUUAAGUUUGGGCCUUAUCUCGGUUGUCUUUGACAUGCUCAUAAUAUGUCCGUAUACGAGGUAGUACUCGUAUCAAACAUGGUCGUAGCAAGCAUAUAAAUGUGAAGCUCAUGCUAUCAGGCAAGCAGAUAAGGAUGGUGAUGUUAAUCAUGUUCAUUACAGCUUCGAUCAGCAGAUUACAGACAUUUUGACCAAGUCUCUUCCUAAGGGGAAAUUUAAAGUUCUAAGGGCUAAGCUGGGAGUAUCCAAGAAAAAUCUCAUAGAGGAGUGUUACACUAUGAGAUUUUUCUAGAUAGUCUUUUGUUUAAUAGUUUUUUUUAAAAUAUUAUAUUUAGUUUUUUAAAAAUAAAUGCUACUCCUUAUUUUGUGAAGUGUGUCUUGUAAGAUAGUAUGUCUUGUAAGACAUUAUGUGAAGUGUGUCUUGUAAGACAUAUGUAGUUAUAAGUGUAAUCUUUUGUAAGAUGUAUGAAUGUAUGAAUGAAAAGUUACUACAAAAACUUAUCUUUUCUCUUGUCCUUAGUUCCAAAUUUUAACACUAAUUUAGUACCCGAUUUGUCUUCUAUUACUAUUAGCUUGACAUUACCAACAAAGUUAGAUUCUGGUUCACUUGUAUCUUUUAUAAGCUAUGGAUAUCUAUCUAGUCCAAAUCUAAGGUAGUUAGAAAGACUUCGAUGUCUCAGAUAUCUAGUAUUGAUAGGUGUUGAUCUAUCAAAGUCCUCUGAAUUAUUUCAUUGGGCUAAACCAAUAUCAAGUCUUUCAAAUCUCAUGUCACUUCAAUUGUCCAACUGCAACAUUUUAGGAAGAAUUCUGACAGCGCAAUUACUUAAUCUUACUAGUAUUUCUACUCUAGAAAUGAGUUCUAACAUUCUAACAUCCUCGAUACCUGAUAUUCUAUCGAACCUCACAACCUUCUCGGUUAUUGACUUUAGUAGCAACAAUUUAGAUGGUCAUAUCAUAUUAAUGCACGUGUUUAAGAAGCUGCCACCUGUUUUAUUUAUUGUUUUGAAUGUUUCAAAGUAGUUUCCUAGUCUUUAGGAUUUAGUUACUCCAUGAUUCAGAAUUUAAUGUUUGUUACUAGAUUUUAGGAUCUUAGUUGGAGCAUUUUUUUAAGUCUUUAAAUGUAAUUCUAAAAAAACUGAAUGUGUUGCUCCCUUUAGCAUAAGUUGUGUGUUAUCUCUCUCUUCUUUUCUCAAAAAACUUGGUUUUACUGCAAAAACACUAACAAUUUGGUAUCAAAGCAAUCGUCUUGAGGGAUCUAUGAGUCUAGUUGAGUGCAUCAAUGAAAGGAGAGAAAUUUUUCAGCAAUGGCACCACCAGUCUUCGAUGGAGACAACUAUCAAAUAUGGGCCAUGAAAAUGGAGACCUACCUGGAAGCAUUGGAUCUGUGGAACUCUGUGGAAGAAGACUAUGAAGUUCAACCACUUCCAACAAACCCCACUGUAGCACAAAUAAAAUCACAGAAGGAAAAGAAGACAAAGAAAUCAAAGGCAAAAGCAUGCUUAUUUGCAGCAGUAUCUCCUAUGAUUUUCACAUGAAUAAUGUCCUUGAAGUCAGCAAAAGCAAUCUGGGAUUAUUUCAAGACAGAGUAUGCAGGCAAUGAAAGGAUUCGUGGAAUGCAAGUGCUUAAUCUCAUCAGGGACGAAUUGCAGAGAAUGAAGGAGUCAGAAUCAAUAAAAGAGCACCCGGACAGACUUUUAAGCAUUGCCAACAAGGUGAGGUUGCUUGAAACCGAGUUAACAGAUUCAAGAAUUGUGGAGAAACUACUUGUAACAGUGCCAGAGAGGUUUGAAGCCACUAUAACAACCCUAGAGAACAUUAAGGAUCUGUAAAAAAUUUCCCUUAAAGAGCUCUUAAAUUCCUUGGAAGCACAAGAGCAAAGGCAAGCCAUGAGACGAUAUGGAGUAGUAGAAGGAGCCUUACCAGCCAAACAUCAAGACAACAACAAGAAUUUAAGGAAGAACUUCAAGAAUCAGUCAGAAAAUGGAGAAAGUUCAUUCAACAAUAAUAAGAAGGGAAAAGGAGGAGGCUCGAAAAAGAUAUUUCCACCCUGCCAACACUGUGGGAAGAAAGGCCAUCCACCUUUCAAAUACUGGAGGAGACCUGAUUGAUACGAGAAUAAUUAUGGAUAUGGACUUGUGAGUGUGUAAGUUGGGACCAAGACUUGGUGUGGCAAAUAAAGUAUAAAGAAGGACUUAAAAACACCAAAAUCAGCCCAUGACUUAAACUUGAUGAGAGCCCAUUCAUUGAAGGGCCUUUUGGUCAUUUAACUUUCAUUUUGUAAUAGCUAUUUAAGGAACAUGUUAGGGUUCCAUUCAGCAGAUUUUGAUGAUAUUUAUGAGUGUAGAACACUUUUAACAAGCUCUCUCUAGAUGGAGGAGUGACCAAAUCGAAACUAGGGCACUAUACAAGGGUGGAAUCACUUAUAUGUUGUAUUUGCUUGGAAACAUUGAUGCUUGGGAGGUGGAAUUCGAACUUGUAUCUUUGAAAGAUAUAGGUUUAUUGUUGUGGGUAUCCUUAAGGGUCCAAGAUUUUCCAUUCUUGGGUUCUUAAGAUUAUUCCUUCAUGUGGUCUAUCUAUCUAUCCUUUUACUUUCAUUGUAAUCUUUGUAGACACCUAAUUUUGCCCCUCCUCAAAGUCCGAUUUAUUUUUUUUACCUUAUCAUAUUGUGUACCCUCACCCAUGUAAUUAUCCCUCCACAAAAUGACAAAAAUAACAACCCUAUAGAUAAUUUUAUCUUAUCUUAACCAACUACCAACCAAGAAAAGGGGGAGGGCCCACUGGAUAUUGGCUUUUUCUUCUUCUUUCCUUGAAGAUUGAUAAAUAGGAGGGGCCCACCACUAACAAAUGGAGAGGAUUCAUCCACAAGAAAACACACAGGGAUAUAUACAUGUGCACAAAUAGAAAAAGGGGGGGGGGGUCAUCUUUUUCAUGAAAAAAAUUCACCUCACGCCAUAUAUACCACCCUCACCAAAAUUUCAUGACAACAACAACAUGAUUCACACAUACACACAGAAUAACACACACACAACUCAAGAUUCCACUCUCAAACACAGCCAUACACACGCACACCCAUACUAAAAAUCACAUAAAAAAGGUGAAAAAUAGUGAAAGGCGAGGGGAAUCGUAGGGGGAAUAAUGAGAUUGAGAAGAGAGUGAGAGAUUGGAGAGAGCCAACAGUUUAAGAGAGAGAGGAAGGGAANNNNNNNNNNNNNNNNNNNNNNNNNNNNNNNNNNNNNNNNNNAGAAAAUGCUACAGCCAUCUGCUUUUCUCCCAUUUGUCAUCAAUACCGAGCUCACCGGAGCUUCGGUGUAGUGAAAACACGACGUCCAGCCCUUUGUUCCAUCCAAAUCCACGUCAAACCAUUUUUUCCGACCUCGAUUUUGGUUUAAUUCUCACCAGAAACACCAAUUCUGGCUGUCAGUUCAUUUGAGUAUGAUUGUGUGGUGAUUGAAUCCAGUUCAAUUCUCUCAAAAAAAAGGUCAAAUUUAGGCGUUUAGUUAUCCCUUUCGAUUAUUCGACUUCAAUUUUGGGUUUCUAUUUCUCUAUACCGAGUGUGGAUUUUGGUCGCUGUCGAGAUUCUCUAUUCGGGCUUUCUGAUCUGCUUUUCUUAGACAGUGUUAUCAACGUAAUAUUCGGAGGUCCAAUUCUAUAUCUCUUAUUUUUUUUUUUGUGAAUAUUUUUGAAUGGUGUGAUUUUUGGUUGAAUUUGGUUGAAGUGAUUUUACUCGUCAUUAACUGAUUGUUAAUCCUGGUGUAAAGUAUGUUCAUCAUGUAGUUGAUUUGAGGUUAUGUUGGAUUUUGGGGAAAAAGAUCAAAAAUUGUCAAAAGAGAAUGUUGAUUUAUGUUGGUUCAGUGAUGAUUGCCAAUGAACAUCGACUUUGUUAAGUUCGAUAGUAUCAUGUUUUAGGCAGUGGAUCAUUAGGCAAGCAAUAAGUUGGGUAGGCAAGAUUUAGGAUUUGUGAUUGUUGAAUGAUGAAAUGUUUGUGGAAUGGUUUUGAUUUAUACAUUGACAUCUAUUGUAUUUAUUUGGUCGGGGAAUUCCCCAAAGUAUUUGUGUUGAUUUAUCCGGGGAAUGCCCCAAAGUAUUUUGUAAUCGGAGGACGUUCGUGAUGAAGGCCCAAGGCAUCGGGUAAAACGACGGAGCAUAGUUUAGGAUUAGUUUAGAAUAAGAUUUAUAUUUUUCGCAUUUUUUUGUUUUUGGAUUGUAAUAAUUGGACUGAACACUAUAAUUUUGGAUUUGUUUGUUUGUUUGAUUGAUUGAUUGGUUUGUAUGUUUUUGUGUGGUUUAUACACUCUUAGCGUCGAAUUAGCCGAUAUGUUCCACUAAGAGACCGUGGUCAAACCACGGGAUCGAGGAGUGCCUAACACCUUCCCUUCGGCCAACAGAAUUCCUUAGCUGAAAUCUCUGUUCGCAAACCAGUUUAAAGAGUCAAAUGGUUUUGAAAAAAAAUUUCCAAUGGUGACUUGGCACACCAGAUUAUGCCAAGUGGCGACUCUGAUUUCAAAUGUAAAAACAAUCCUUCUUCAAAACAAAUCGUUUUCUUUUGUCACUUAAUAAUAAAAACCCUUUCGAACCCAAUAUAAAAUCUAAUCUUUCGGAGUUAAAAAAGGGGAGUGACAGCUCUGGUGACUCUGCUGGGGAAGACAAGUUUUCAGAAUUCGAGCUAUUUUUUGGAGUCGUAUCGACUUUGUUUGGCAUUACGGAUGUAUAAACAUUGUUUGUGAUUAUUGUUUGUGUUAUUAUUAUCACUGUUGUGCGUUUUUCGUGCUCUUUGUUUAUAGUAUUUAUCCUAUGUGUUACCACUUUUAUAUCUGUCAUCAUGUGUCUACCCCCAGGCCUUUUUUCUGCAACAAGUCUAUAGUACACGUGUUAUACACGACCUCUAGUUGAGUCACCCUUAUUUUAGGGGGGGAGCCGUCGGUGUUAUGGAGUAGGUGGAAAGUAAAGCAGCCACUAUCGACCAUACGCUCCCCCGAACAGCCUUGUUAGUGAACCACAACGUAGGUCAGCNNNNNNNNNNNNNNNNNNNNNNNNNNNNNNNNNNNNNNNNNNNNNNNNNNNNNNNNNNNNNNNNNNNNNNNNNNNNNNNNNNNNNNNNNNNNNNNNNNNNNNNNNNNNNNNNNNNNNNNNNNNNNNNNNNNNNNNNNNNNNNNNNNNNNNNNNNNNNNNNNNNNNNNNNNNNNNNNNNNNNNNNNNNNNNNNNNNNNUUUUUUACAUUUCGUAUAACGAAAAUACCAAAAAGAUUUUUCUUUCAUAGUUGGUGAUGUCAUUUUUUUGUGAAGUAUCAAAAUGAAAACUCAAAAGAUUUUAUUAACGUGGUUUAUCGUCUGUCUUUGGUCGUAUCUCUUAAGUCAGGGUCUAGCCUGUUAUUUAAUCAUUAAUUGUCCAAUCUGGAUGAACUAUGCACCCCUGAUUCUCCUCUUUCGGGAGUGAGAUAGUAGGCAGCCUAUUGUUGGUUCGGGGAUCUUAUUUAAAAAAUCCAAAAAAAAAAAAUUCUUCACUUUUCAUCUAGAGUAGGUGUUUCAUACAUGUCUUGAAAAUAAAAUUACAAAAAAAAAUCCUUAAUAGUCGUAGGUUUUAUUUUUGGUUGAUCUUAUUCUAAAAAAUUCGAAAAAGAUUUUCUUCACUCUUUAUUUAGAGUAGGUAUUUCAUAUACAUCUUCAAGAGAAAACUAUCAAAAUAUUUUUCCUUUAAUAGUUUCAAGUUUCAUUUUCAUAUGAAAUUCAUAAUUGAAAACCCCAAAAGAUUUUUUAAUCAUAAGUUUCGUUUUGUAUAGGUAUUUUAAAAGUAAAAAAUGCAAAAAGAUUUUCGUCAAUUCUUUUGACAAAUUGUUAUUUUUUUUCUUUCAAGCAAAAGAAUGGAAAAAGAGUUUAAUUGGCCAUUUUGGCAAGACUUCAUGAAGUACGCAUACCUGAUUCUCCCCUUUCGGGGUGAGAUACGUAGGCGCCUUCUAGGGUUCGGUGAUUUUUUUUCAAAAAAAAAAAAUUAAAAAUAAAAAGAGGUUUUGAAAAAUCAUUGAACUCUAACGCAUUUGCUAUCUCUUGUCCAGUUAGUAUAAGGUGGUUGGUUUGUGAAAUUUUGGCUGGUCCUCCAUAUUGCUCCAAGUCACAGAGAAAGUUAUGGCCAACAAGGAUACCGAGUUAGUUGUCACUAAUCAGAUAGGGAGUUCGGGGAAUGAGAAUGUAGAAGAUAAUGAAGAGAUUCGGAAAUUAAGGCGGAAAAUAAUAGAAAUGCAUCAAGCUUGGGCUAAUGGGUUGCCUCUUCCUCCAGUUCCCACUGAUAAUCUGGAAUAUCUUUCUAGCUUGCCUCCCAUGUCACAUGCACAAUUUCUCAUUUUUGUUGAUAUGCCACAACAUGCAUCAGGAUCGACUCCAGGGCAACAAUAUCCAACUACUUCCAAUGUUCAUUUCCUCACUCCCCAAUCCAAGACUACCACAUACUCGGCUCCAGCUGUUGUUUAUGCUUUUGCGGCGCCACCCCCACCUCCUACUUUUGAUGUUCAUCCACAAGUUGUGCCUCCCUACUCUACAAGAGAGCCUGCAUUGAAUAUUUUUAGUGAUCAGCAUUAUGCUCUCGAGCCUACACUUAAGUCAACUGGUCCUUACGAUUGUCCUCAACUGCCUGAAUUUACUCCUAACACCGAAAAGCCUGUUAUGACAGAAGAACAAGAGGAAAUAUCUAGAAAAUUGAGAAGUUUGGAACUGACUAUGAAAACUUGCUAGGACUUGGGGGGUACAAAAGUGUCGCAUAUACAGAUCUGUGCAUGUUUCCUGGUGUACAUCUUCCUCUUGGUUUUAAAAUGCCGAAGUUUGAGAAGUAUGAUGGACAUGGCGAUCCUGUAGCACAUUUGAGACGCUAUUGCAACCAGCUAAGGGGUGCUGGAGGGAAGGAAGAAUUACUCAUGGCAUAUUUUGGUGAGAGUCUUUCAGGUCUAGCUUCAGAAUGGUUUGUUGACCAAGACAUUGACAAAUGGAUUAGUUGGGAUGACCUAGCUAACAAAUUUGUGCAACAAUUUCAAUAUAAUGUGGAGUUGAUCCCUUACGAAAAAUCCCUAACUAGUAUAACAAAGAAGAAUACUGAGAGUUUCAGGGAGUAUGCGACCAAAUGGCGCGAACAAGCUACUAGAGUAAAACUGCCAAUGAAAGAAAGUAAAAUGGUAGAGGUGUUUAUUAAAGAGUAGGACGAAACAUAUUAUUAACACUUGUUACCUGCAUUAGGCACGUCGUUCAUUGAGGUCCUUAAAAUGGGGGAGAUGAUAGAAGAGGGAAUUAAGGCUGGUCGCAUUGUGAGUUUUGCAACAUUGAAAGCGACUACUCAAGUAAUUCAAAAGGGUUCAGGAAGUGUUGGGCAGAAAAAUAAUGAGGAAGAUGCAUCUGCAAUUAUAGUUGGACAGCAAUAAAAGUCAAGAAGACCACGUCAUCAUCAAUCUCAAGCUCAAGCUCAAGUUUAUGCCCAGGCUCCAUAUAAUCACUCCCAAAAUCCAUUAUACUCUGUUCCUCCACAUCCAUAUCCAUUGUAUAAUGCACAACCACGUGUUCAACCCUCAUCUUAUGCACAAUGGCAAACCCCAAUGCCCCAGAGUCAUCCUCUAACUCCACAAACAUACCAAACCCUUUCUAAGCCAAAAUUUCUAUCCAAGCCAAAUAAUGAAAUGAGGCAGAAGUCGAGAGAUAGCUUUACACCAAUUGGAGAGUCAUAUGCCAGUUUAUUUCAGAGACUGGUACAAGAAGGAAUGAUUACUCCUCUCCUUGGGCACACCCUUAAUCGAUUACUCCUCUCCUUGGGCACACCCUUAAUCGGCGUUCAAGAAAUUUUGAUCCUAACGCACGAUGUGCGUAUCAUUCUGAGGCUCAGGGUCAUAGUAUUGAAGAUUGUCGAUAUUUGAAAAGAAAAAUGGAAAAGAUAAUUCAUGAUGGAUCAAUUAUGGUGCAGAACAUUGAUAGUGAGGGAAGCUCUAGUCAUGUUGAUAUGUAAACCAGUGGCUAAGUUGUCAGGCUGAGCAAUUGAGAAUUCACCUAUCUCCCCACUAGGAAGAGGUCUGAUAGUUGUUUUGUCUUCUUUUCUAUUUUUCAAAUUAUUUCAGGUUUGUAGUUCGGGAUCUAUCUUGUUUUGUCCCUUUGCCGUUUAUGUUCAAACCCCUCUAUCUUUCAUUUUUAUUAAAUGGGGUGUCCCCUUUUUCUUUGUGUUUUAAUUAUGUGUUAUUUGUUUGCUUUUUUUUACAUGGUACAUUUUAUGUUGACUCUAGUGAUAUGAUAUGCUAGUGAAAUUCAUAGCUAGAUCUUAACAUCCAAUUUAAGAAUGAACAUUGAAUCAGAGGGUUAAAGUUAGAAAAAGAGAGCAUCUGAGGAAAUAAAUAGACUGCUGGGGCAUCUAGUGAUCAAGUUGAAACCUUCUUUGAAAAUUAAGGCUAUUAUUUUGAAAAUUGUGAGAAUAACUUGGUCAUCAAUUGAAAGACAUAUCUCAAUUAGGUCAAGUAUUGAAUGUGUGAUCCUAUGUCAAAAGGAACAGGAAGAAAAUCAGCUCCACGAAGUCAUGAGUCCUUCAGCAUGAGGAAUGUACAACGAAAAUGGAGUUAUAUGUUUGACAAGUGUAGAAAAAGAAGUGACAUACAUGCUCAGUUGAAGUUAGUGUUGUUAAGUGCCACAAAUGAUCUUCAUCUUUCGUUUUCAUAUUGCAUGAUAUGUACUUGCAUUUUUAAUGAUUGAUAUGGCGAAGGCCUUUCAUUCUACUAUCCAAACAUCAUCUCAUCCUUUGUUUACCCAUUUGAGCUUUAGUCCUAUUUUCUUUCAUACCCCUCUUUUGGAAUCAUAUAGAGUCAACAAAACUCAAAAGAAAGGUGUCGAGCAAAAUAGUAGAGUCAGAAAAGUUUCAAAAAAAAAGAAGAGAAAAUGUGUCCAAAGGAGAAAAAGAAGAGCGUAGAGAAAAAUAAAGUCAGAAAAGCCCCAAAGAGAAAGGAGUCAACAAAAGGAAAAAAAACUUAGAAUCAAGUGAAACAAAAACAAGCUGCCAGAACUACGCAUAACCUGAUUCUCCUCUCUCGGGGGUGAGAUACGUAGGCUAACCUACUCAGGGCUCGGUCCAACCAAAUAAACAAUUUAGAGUCACCCAGUCAAAAGAAACUGGGGCAUGAGUUAAUCCUCAUUGUUUGAGUCGAUUCCAAAAGUUGUAAGUCCUACCCCACUUCAAGUGUUGUUUGGGCCCCAUGUCAUCCUUUCUUUCUAACCUUAUNNNNNNNNNNNNNNNNNNNNNNNNNNNNNNNNNNNNNNNNNNNNNNNNNNNNNNNNNNNNNNNNNNNNNNNNNNNNNNNNNNNNNNNNNNNNNNNNNNNNNNNNNNNNNNNNNNNNNNNNNNNNNNNNNNNNNNNNNNNNNNNNNNNNNNNNNNNNNNNNNNNNNNNNNNNNNNNNNNNNNNNNNNNNNNNNNNNNNNNNNNNNNNNNNNNNNNNNNNNNNNNNNNNNNNNNNNNNNNNNNNNNNNNNNNNNNNNNNNNNNNNNNNNNNNNNNNNNNNNNNNNNNNNNNNNNNNNNNNNNNNNNNNNNNNNNNNNNNNNNNNNNNNNNNNNNNNNNNNNNNNNNNNNNNNNNNNNNNNNNNNNNNNNNNNNNNNNNNNNNNNNNNNNNNNNNNNNNNNNNNNNNNNNNNNNNNNNNNNNNNNNNNNNNNNNNNNNNNNNNNNNNNNNNNNNNNNNNNNNNNNNNNNNNNNNNNNNNNNNNNNNNNNNNNNNNNNNNNNNNNNNNNNNNNNNNNNNNNNNNNNNNNNNNNNNNNNNNNNNNNNNNNNNNNNNNNNNNNNNNNNNNNNNNNNNNNNNNNNNNNNNNNNNNNNNNNNNNNNNNNNNNNNNNNNNNNNNNNNNNNNNNNNNNNNNNNNNNNNNNNNNNNNNNNNNNNNNNNNNNNNNNNNNNNNNNNNNNNACAAAAGCUAGCACAUGAAAGAGACAUGAUUGUGAGCCCAAAAAAGGCAUGCAGGAAGUUUUUUCAACAGAGAAGUCAGGGAACUCAUGGAAAUACCAAGGUUCAAAGGGUUUAUUUGAGAAACACGACAAAGCAGAAAUACUGUGUUUGUUUCAAAGUCACUCUUAAUAAGCUGAGUUUGAGUUAAUGAUACAGUAAGUCAAUGACAUAUGCUAAUGGCUGGAAGCAAAGUUAAAUAUGACGGGGGCAGAAGCAAGUGCCUCAAAAACCAAAGCCACAAAGUAGCCACCAUGUUUUUAAACUCACAAGUUUUCUUUGUAUGUAAUAGGAAUACAUGUUGCAUUCAGAUCAAGGAUUUCAGAGCCUAAACAUCAAAGGCCAUAAUUUCUCACCUCAACAAAUGCAAGAGGCAAGGUUGUUGCACAGGUUUGGUAAUCAAAACCAUGGUAAAACUCAUAAUUCAAGAUCUCAGGAGACGCACUUCCUUGUUUUGAUAAUUCAAACAACAUUGAUAAGGAAACACACUUCCUUGAUUGGGUAAUUUGAAUUUUUCUUCAUAGGUAAUGCACUUCCAAACUUAAGUCUUGAUUCCUAGAAGACGUACCUUUUAGUCGAGUUACCCCCUUCGAUUCCUAUAAGACGUACCUUUUAGUCAAGUCAUCCCCUUUGAUUCCUAUAAGACAUACCUUUUAGUCGAGUUAUUCCUCUUGAUUCCUAGAAGACGUACCUUUUAGUCGAGUCAUUCCCCUUGACUCCUAGAAGACGUACCUUUUAGUCAAGUCAUCCCCGUUGAUUCCUAUGAGAAGUACCUUUUAGUUGAGUCAUUCUUAUUGAUUCCUAUAAGACGUACCUUUUAGUCGAGUCAUUCCCUUUGAUUCCUAGAAGACGUACCUUUUAGUCAAGUCAUUCCCUUUGAUUCCUAUAAGACGUACCUUUUAGUCAAGUCAUUCCCUUUGAUUUCUAUAAGACAUACCUUUUAGUCGAGUCUUUCCUAUUCCUAUAAGAGGUACCUUUUAGUCGAGUCAUCCCCUUUGAUUCCUGUAAGACGUACCUUUUAGUCGAGUCAUUCCUCUUGAUUCCUAGAAGACGUACCUUUUAGUCGAGUCAUUCCCCUUGACUCCUAGAAGACUUACCUUUUAGUCAAGUCAUCCCCGUUGUUUCCUAUGAGAAGUACCUUUUAGUCGAGUCAUUCCCUUUGAUUCCUAGAAGAAGUACCUUUUAGUCGAGUCAUUCCCUUUGAUUCCUAUAAGACGUACCUUUUAGUCAAGUCAUUCCCUUUGAUUCCUAUAAGACAUACCUUUUUGUUGAGUCAUCUCCUUUGAUUCCUAUAAGACGUACCUUUUAGUCGAGUCAUUCUUCUUGAUUCCUAGAAGACGUUUCUUUUAGUCGAGUCAUUCCCCUUGAAUCCUAGAAGACGUACCUUUUAUUCAAGUCAUCCCCGUUGAUUCCUAUGAGAUAUACCUUUUAGUCGAGUCAUUCCUAUUGGUUCCUAUAAGACGUACCUUUUACCCGAGUCAUUCCCUUUGAUUCCUAGAAGACGUACCUUUUAGUCGAGUCAUUCCCUUUGAUUCCUAUAAUACAUACCUUUUAGUCAAGUCAUUCCCCUUGAAUCCUAGAAGACAUACCUUUUAGUCAAGUCAUCCCCGUUGAUACCUAUAAGACGUACCUUUUAGUCGAGUCAUUCCUCUUGAUUCCCAGAAGACGUACCUUUUAGUCAAGUCAUUCCCCUUGAAUCCUAGAAGACAUACCUUUUAGUCAAGUCAUCCCCGUUGAUACCUAUAAGACGUACCUUUUAGUUGAUUUAUCCCCUUUGAUUCCUAUAAGACGUACCUUUCAGUCAAGUCAUUCCAAUUAACUCAUAGAAAAUGCAUUUCUUUAUUUGGGAUAAUUUUCUUUUCAGUUUUGAUGUGAUUUCAGGAGCAUGCCCGAAGCACAGAGAUAAUAAAUGGAAAACCAAGAAACAAGAUGAAACAAUUGAAAGCCAAGCAACAAAUUAAAAAAUUACAAGUCGGGAGCCCACCUGAAGAAUAGGGUGAUGAAACUCAAGUCAAGAGUUCAGAAAAGCUGCAUAGAUAGGACUUUUGUAAUUUUAUUUAUCUUUUUAACUCUUGUAAUUUUUAGUUUUUGAUGUAAUGGCAGAGCCGCAAACCAGAACCUCGACAAGGCCUCACUCGACUCUCCAACUCGAUAUAAUUCCUCUCCUUCCAACCAUUUGAGAUACCUGUGAUUGGACUCUCUCAUAACUUGGGUAAGUAAGAUGUCAAAAACCCGAUUACCCUUCUUCCUUCUGUUUCUUUCUUUGAAUAAUGUUCGGGUCAAAAUUUGGUCUUGUUGUCUACUUCGUUGUCUGAAAAUAUUUCAUGUUUAUAUUCAAAGGGGCAUGCUGUAGACACCUAAUUUUGUCCCUCCUCAAAGUCCAAUUUUAUUUUUUUUACCUUAUCAUAUUAUGUACCCUCACCCAUGUAAUUAUCCCUCCACAAAAUGACAAAAAUAACAACCCUAUAGAUAAUUUUAUCUUAUUUUAACCAACUACCAACCAAGAAAAGGGGGAGGGCCCACUGGAUAUUGGCAUUUUCUUCUUUCCUUGAAUAUUGAUAAAUAGGAGGGGCCCACCACUAACAAAUGGAGAGGAUUCAUCCACAAGAAAACACACAGGGAUAUAUACAUAUGCACAAAUAGAAAAGGGGGGGUCAUCUUCUACACAAAAAAAAAUUCACCUCACACCAUAUAUACCACCCUCAUCGAAAUUCCAUGACAACAACAUGAUUCACACAUACACACAGAAUAACACAUACAUAACUCACGAUUCCACUCUUAAACACAGCCAUACACAUUCACACCCAUACCAAAAAUCGCAUAAAAAAAGGUGAAAAACAGUGAAAGGCGAGGGGAAUCGUAGGGGGAACAUUGAGAUCGAGAAGAGAGUGAGAGAUCAGAGAGAGGCAAUAGUUUGAGUGAGAGAGAAAAGGUGAGAGAGACGUUUCCGGUGAGAUAUCACCAGAAAAUGCUACAGCCAUCUGCUUUUCUCCCAUUUGUUGUCAAUACCGAGCUCACCGGAGCUCCGGUGUAGUGAAAACACUACGUCCAGCCCUUUGUUCCAUCCAAAUCCACGUCAAACUAUUUUUCCCGACCUCGAUUCUGUUUUAAUUCUCAUCGGAAACACCAAUUCUGGCUGUCAGUUCAUUUGAGUAUGAUUGUGUGGUGAUUGAAUCCAGUUCAAUUCUCUCUCAAAAAAAAGGUCAAAGUUAGGCGUUUGGUUAUCCCUUUCGAUUAUUCGACUUCAAUUUUGGGUUUCUAUUUCUCUAUACCGAGUGUGGAUUUUGGUCGUUGUCGAGAUUCUCUAUUCGAUCUUUCUGAUCUGGUUUUCUUAGACAGUGUUAUCAACGUAAUAUUUGAAGGUCCAAUUCUAUAUCUCUUUUUUUUGUGAAUAUUUUUGAAUGGGGUGAUUUUUGGUUGAAUUUGGUUGAAUUUGGUUGAAGUGAUUUUACUCUUCGUUAUCUGAUUGUUAAUCCUGGUGUAAAGUAUGUUCAUCAUGUAGUUGAUUUGAGGUUAAGUUGGAUUUUGGGGAAAAAGAUCAAAAAUUGUCAAAAGAGAACGUUGAUUUAUGUUGGUUCAGUGAUGAUUGCCAAUGAACAUCGACUUUGUUAAGUUCGAUAGUAUCAUGUUUUAGGCAGUAGAUCAUUAGGCAAGCAAUAAGUUGGGUAGGCAAGAUUUAGGAUUUGUGAUGGUUGAAUGAUGAAAUGUUUGUGGAAUGGUUUUGAUUUAUACAUUGACAUCUAUUGUAUUUAUUUGGCCGGGGAAUUCCCCAAAGUAUUUGUGUUGAUUUAUCCAGGGAAUGCCCCAAAGUAUUUUGUAAUCGGAGGACGUUCGUGAUGAAGGCCCAAGGCAUUGGGUAAAACGACGGAGCAUAGUUUAGGAUUAGUUUAGAAUAGGAUUUAUAUUUUUCGCAUUUUUCUAUUUUUGGAUUGUAAUAAUUGGACUGAACACUAUAAUUUUGGAUUUGUUUGUUUGUUUAUUUGAUUGAUUGGUUUGUAUGUUUUUGUGUGGUUUAUACACUCUUAGCGUCGAAUUAGCCGAUAUGUUCCACCAAGCGACCGUGGUCGAACCACGGGAUCGAGGGGUGCCUAACACCUUUCCUUCGGUCAACAGAAUUUCUUAGCUAGAAUCUCUGUUCGCAAACCAGUUUAAACAGUCAAAUGGUUUUGAAAAGGAUUUUCCAAUGGUGACUUGGCACACCAGAUUAUGCGAAGUGGCAACUCUGAUUUCAAAUGUAAAAACAAUCCUUCUUUGAAACAAAUCGUUUUCUUUUUUCACUUAAUAAUAAAAACCCUUUUGAAUCCAAUAUAAAAUCUAAUCUUUUGGAGUUAAAAAAGGGGUGUGACAAUCUUGUUUAGAGUUUGUGUUGUAAUCUUGUGUUCUUCUUCUUGUUGUUGAAUCCGAAUCUUAUAGUCAUUGUGUUCACCUUCUUUUUUUUUGUGUUGCUGCUAAUUUGGUGUUGAAAACACAGCUCUUUAUCUCAUUAUUGUGUUGUAGUAGCGAAUCCGAGAGUGGUCUCCAUCUUGUUCCUCGAAUCCUUAAGAUUAGUGGACUAUUUUGAAGUGUGUUUGGACUAUUUUUUGCCCCAUUUCGUGAGUUCCUUGGGCUUUUUCGUAUCAUUUGGUAUCAAAGCCGAGUUUGAUUUUGUUCCUACGAAAUCAAUCUUGGGUUUGUUACUUAGAAAAUCAAACAAAAAACCUGAAAACUAAAAACUGAAAAAAAAAUCUAGAAAAGUGGAAAUUUGUCCACUUUUCUUUCUUGGCCAAAAACUGUGUUCUUGUUGUCUUGGCCGAGAUUUGUUUGUUGUGUGUCUAGAUCUAGUCGUGUUCUUGUUUGUUUUGUUAUUUCUAGUGUUAGUCUUCUUGUUCACUAACACUUUUGAGUCUAGAUCUAAACUUGAGCUUAAACUUGUUGAAAGUUGUUGUUGUGAACAAAUUAAUGCCCAUGUAUUGAUGUUGUUGUUCUUGGCCGUGUGGUGACCUUUCUUGUGAACUUGUGCAGGACGUUGUUGGUGUUGUUAUUGUUCUUGAAAAGUUUUUAUAUUCUUGUUGUUCAUCAUAAUCUUCACCCCUUGUUAAGACCAAAACACCACACUAAAGUACUUGGUCGUUUGUUGGAAGUUUGUAGUUGACCUUGUUGUUGUGGAAUUGUUGUUGUUCUUGAGAGAUUGUUGUUGAUUUUCUUGGUGAUUGUUGAAGUGUUCUUGAUGUUCUUCCAAACCUUCAUACCUUGUUAAAAUAAAGUGAAAGUUAGAUCCCAAAAGGUGAAGGAAAAGUGUGACAAAUUUGUUAGUCUUGAAAGACUUGCCAUCACUCACUAAUUAGUCAAUCACAUUUCAACCACUUUCCCAUAAAACAAGGAUCCAUGUUUUAAGGAGGAGUACAAGUCUAGUCCAAGAUUUUUGAGUCUUGAAAGUUGAAUUGAAAAAGCAACUCCAAAGACUAGUUUGUGUUUCCCUUCAUUGAACAAGUUACACCAAAGUCAAAAUUGUAAAAGUUGAUCAAGACUUCCCAAUUUGGAAAAUAAAAUUGUUGAGAACUGAGGCCAAUCACGGAUUGCCACAAUCACAAAUUAAUGUUCACCAACAAAUUUUAAGCUCAAUUUUUGAUCUUUUAGUUUCAUUUUGUGUCUUUAGUUUCGUUUGUUGAUUCUAAAUGUAAUUUACAAGCUAGUACUAGAUUGUGAGUUAGUUUUGAAACCGUUCUUCGUGUUAACUUUGCUUUGUGUGUUUUAAUUCUUUGAGUCAUUGUAAUACGUCUUUGUGUAUUCCUUACUCCUUGGAGUCCUUCUCAACAUUAGAUUUACCUCUCAACAUCACUCGGAGUACAAGCAAGCUUGCAACACUUGUGAGAUUGAGUGUGAGGAUCCAAGAGUCAAGAAAUAAAAAGAAAGAGUGGGGAUGUUUUUGUAGAACUAAUGUGUUUUCUGUUUUUGUAGGUAACUCCUUUGCCAUAAUGGACACCAUUUUGGCCCUCGUUGAUGCUAUGUCCAGAGACCUUUCUAGGGCAAAUCUGGGUCUUGAAAACAUUUACUCGGAUGUGGUAACUAUGGUUGAGAGGUUGGAUCGAAUGGGGAGACGAGGGAACUCUCGUGUUUUUACUCCCGAAACUUUACCUACAAAAGCCAAUCCUCCAAGUUCACCACAAAAUGUCAUAAGCCAAGCUACAAUUUACCCACAAAAUCGAGAACAAGGUAGGCCCCUUCCCCCGCUAGUUGAUCAAGUCCAACAAGAAGGACUUGUAAACCAAUUUCCUCCCAUCCAAGCUCCACAACCGAAGCUCCACAUUACCAAAGAAGUCCACUUUACCAAAUCAAUCCUUUCAAUCUAAACUCCACUUUACCAAAGCCUACAUAUCCAAGAAGAGAAACAUGGUAGAGAGGUACAUGAAGGAUAUGGAGCCUACGACAAUGCUUAUAUGAUGGAGGGAAACUUGAGUCAGAUAAGAUUGAAGCCAAAACUCAAGAUGGAGAGGAAGCCGAGGUUCAAAAUGAAAAUAUUAGCCACGAAUUGUGUUUGUGUUACUCUCGGGUCCAUCUUGUUGGUGGACUAUUUUUGGAGUCAUUUUUUAUAUGUCCCUUGUUGUUAUUGAGCUCUUGGGCUCUUCAUGUUUUUACGGACUAUUUUUUAGUGGACUCUUUGAAGUGGCCAAUUGAACGAGGUGAAGCCGUGAAUUUAUGGACAAAUUCCUCUCAAGAUGGAGAGGAUGAUACGAGAAUAAUUACGGAUAUGGACUUGUGAGUGUGUAAGUUGGGGCCAAGACUUGGUGUGGCAAAUGAAGUAUAAAGGACUUAAAAACACCAAAAUCAGCCCAUGACUUAAACUUGAUGAGAGCUCAUUCAUUGAAGGGCCUUUUGGUCAUUUAACUUCCAUUUUGUUAUAGCUAUUUAAGGAACAUGCUAGGGUUCCAUUCAGCAGAUUUUGUGUAAUGACCCUUACGGUCAUUUUACUGUAUUUUCAUAUAAUUGUAGUACUAUCUAAAUAUAUGUCGUGGAUUAUUUAAUUUAAUUUGGUAUUUUGUAAAAAUAUAAUUUAGUACCCUUCUAAAAUAUUUUCGAUAUUUGUAAAAUUCUUUAAGUCAUGAGAUAUUUAUCUCACUUUAUAAUAGGUUUUUAUGAUUUGUUAAUAUUUUAAGUGGAGAUAGUAAAUUUAAAAAAAAAAUAUUAAAAUACUAUUAUUAUAUAAUAGAGGUUUUGUUAGAAAUAAUUUUCUAUUAAUUAUGGUAUAUCCAAAAUAUUAUAAUUAUUUUACCACAAAUUUAUACAAUAUUCGAUUAUGUAUACAAUGUAGACAAAUUAUUAGAAGUGUACACGUGGGAAUGAAUUGUGGAAAGAAGCAUGGCAGCCAUAUGUUUGUCCAUGAUUUGGCCAAUUGGAAAGGGCUACCUUUUUAUAUAUAUACNNNNNNNNNNNNNNNNNNNNNNNNNNNNNNNNNNNNNNNNNNNNNNNNNNNNNNNNNNNNNNNNNNNNNNNNNNNNNNNNNNNNNNNNNNNNNNNNNNNNNNNNNNNNNNNNNNNNNNNNUAUUAUAUAUAUAUAUAUAUAUAUAUAUAUAUAUACCUUUAGUCCUUUUUUGACUAGAAAGAAAGAAAAAAGAAAACUUUCCAACUACUUACAUCUUUCUCAUUUCCUUGAAAAUAUUUGCAUCUGCCAUAUUAAAGUGAACCAUUCCCUUACCGUUAGCUUUCUGUUUUUCCAUAUCUGAACCUUCGUUUAUUUUAUUUUUUUUAAAUUAGUUAGGUUUCUUGUUUAGCCUUGCAAAAUUGCUUAUAAAUUACGAGGCGUUGUGGAAAACAAUUUCUUUAAUGUUGGUCAAAUUUGGGUUCUAGUGAGAUAGUAUUCGGAGGUUUUGCGGAAAGAUAUUAUAACUUUGGCGUCCAGGUAGGCUAGGUUUUUCCGAUCUUUAGAUUGAACUUAAUUACUAAAAAUGUAAACUAUUAUGUUAGCCUUGGAUAAAUUCUUGUAGAUGUGCAUUUUUUAUAUAUAUAAACUGUCUUAUUUAUCCGGAUUAGGACCCCAUUCUAGAAAAUUUUUGAAAAAUUAUCUUUUAAUAUAAUAUAGCAUCUAUCACUUUGAGACGUAAAAAUACUUUUUAUUUGAAAGUAUAGUUGUUCAUAUAUACAAUUGCUUCUCUUAUUCAUCUUUCAAUAUACCUUUAGAAAUAGUUAUAUGAAACAUGUAUACAUAUAUAAUUAUUUGAAAAGUAUAUAUGUAUAAGAGUAUAUAAUAAGCAUAGGAUAAUAUAGGCAUAUAAUAUAUUAAUUAAAUUGCGAAACCUUGAAUUUAUUCCUAGUUAAUUAAGAUUAACGGAUGAUUGUUUAGACAUUGACAUUGUUAUGAUAUGGUAUGAAUUUUAUUACUUCCGAUGGUUAUUGUUACUAUGAGUUUCAGUUCGAGUCCGGCAAAUGAUUAUUAUGGUUACUAUGAGUUUCGGUUCGAGUCCGGCAAUUGACUAUUAUGGUUACUAUAAGUUCCGGUUCGAGUCCGGCAAUUGACUAUUAUGGUUACUAUGAGUUUCGGUUCGAGUUCGGCAUUUGAUUAUUAUGGGUACUAUGAAUUCCGGUUCAAGUCCGGUGCACAUCUAGAUAACUAUAAUGAUUUAUUGGGAUCACUGCAGUUUUAGAUUAUUAUGUUUAUUUUUGUUACUUAGGUGUCCCACCGGCUUAUGGGGGUACGGUUGGGUUAAUUGUCUUCUUCAGUGUGCCUAGCGGGCUUAUGGGGGCUCAGUUAGGUUAUUUUGUGUGCCUAGCGGGCCUAUGGGGGCCCAAUUAGAUUAUGUUUGAUUUAUCUGUUAUUACUGCAUUAUUUAUUUUUUGGUAUCGCAUAAGUUUAUUUCUUUACAGACAUUGCGUAGUUUGGUAGUUCUUUACCUUUGCAUCCCUAUCUACUAAUGACUCAGAUUACGCCCUCGCAUUGUAGUUAGACCUUUUCUGUAUAAAGCUCAGUCGGCCGAUGAUGUCUACUGAGUACCCGUGGUUUUUUUGGUACUCAUACUACACUUUUGCAUCUUUUUCUGAUGCAGAUCAGGGUAAUAGCAGUCGAUGUUAACGUGGUUCCUACCUUCCAUCACUGAUUCAAAGCAGGGUGAGCUUGCUAUUAUCUGAGGCUGAUCCUCUUCUAUGUAUUCCAGUUAGUCUUUUGCUCUCGAGACUAUUUGUUUAUAUUGUGUACAUUUUAUAUUUUUGUCUAGUACUCUAGGUACCUUUUAGUAAUGGCUCUAGUACUGACCUUAUCAGGUCUUGGGAGGGACUCAUUGUAUAGUUGGUCUUUUUUUUUCUCAUUUCCUUUUGAUAUAAUAUAUUACUCUUACUUAGUUUUUACUUAUUAUUAUUAUACAUGAUCCUUUAUUUGGUCUCUAUCUGUUAGCCCGUUACUUAUCAUUUUGGAUUAUGGCUUGGCUUUCCUACUGGUGGGUUAAAGUAGGCACCAUCAUGUCUUGAGAAAUCGAGUCAUGACAUUUUGAUGAUAUUUGUGAGUGUAGAACACUUUUAACAAGCUCUCUCUAGAUGAAGGAGUGAACAAACCAAAACUAGGGCACUAUACAAGGGUGGAAUCACUUGUAUGUUGUAUUUGCUUGGAAACAUUGAUGCUUGGGAGGUGAAAUCCGAACUUGUAUCCUCGUAAGAGAUAGGUUUAUUGUUGUGGGUAACCUUAAGGGUCCAAUAUUGUCCAUUUUUGGGUUCUUAAGAUUAUUCCUUCAUGUGGUCUAUCUAUAUAUCCUUUUACUUUCAUUGUAAUCUUGUUUAAAGUUUGUGUUGUAAUCUUGUGUUCUUCUUCUUGUUGUUGAAUUUGAAUCUUGUAGUCAUUGUGUUCACCUUCUUCUUUUUGUGUUUCUGCUAAUUUGGUGUUGAAAACAUAGCUCUUUAUCUCACUAUUGUGUUGUAGUAGCGAAUCCGAGAGUGGUCUCCAUCUUGGUCCUCGAAUCCUUAAGAUUAGUGGACUAUUUUGAAGUGUGUUUGGACUAUUUUUUGCCCCAUUUCGUGAGUUCCUUGGGCUGUCCUGUAUCACUGAUGCUAAGUGCACCGAGUGCAACCAACUCGGUCAUGAAGCAGUGAUAUGUACAAGAGCAAUGGAGAUAUAAUACCUUUGAGGGCAAAAUCGGACAUGCUUUGAGAAUUUGAAACAACUUCCAUAUUAAUAUUGAUCUUGACUUCAAUCGGAUGAGGAUUCUGGAGGUUGACAACUAUAACAUGACCUGAACUCAAGCAUUUGAUUCCUUUCCAACUGCAACAAUUUUCGCCUUGCCAUGAAGAUAACCAAUUAGAUGGAUCAGUCAGCAAGGAUUUGUUAGGUUUUUUGCCUUGAUUUUCUUACUAUAUUUAAGUUUUAUUUUUUCUUAGUAGGAAAAUAAAAAUUACCAUAAUUACUUUUACUUUUCCUGAAAGAAAAAAAUAUAAUUCUUUUCCAUAUUUGGCUAACCUAAGACGACAUAGGUGAAAUUACUAAUAAAGACCCUAAUACCAAAAACAACUUGACUUCGACUUAAAGUAGACACCACCCUGCAAUGACAGACACAUAAAAAACUCAAACUGAAUAAAGAUAAGAAACACUCUUUCCGACUGGUGCUCUGCGUGAUGACCCUGGCUGAGAUGGACCUGCCUGUGAAGUUCUCUUUCUCCCAUUUAAACUUUGUAGCAUAUCCUGUAAAGACACCCUGAUACUGGGGAAGAAGCUUCGGGCCCGUAUUCCUGCCUCAUGAGGAGUGCACUUGGAAAGAUUAUUCUGACACCUCUCUACCGUCUUGAACAAAUCUGCUAACUGAACUCUCAGUGUUUCCACUUUGUACCCUUCACUUUCAUCCUGAUGGUCGUCUACUAUACAUUCUUCCUGUAUUCUCUCUCUAAGCUGUGCUGUAAGGGUUGACUGAUACCCCGAGGGAUAGAUUGAAGCCAAAUCCCAUAUCCCUAAGUGUACCUUGUAUUAUCCAAACUUUCUUUGAGUGUGUCCACACCUAGCUUUGUUGCAUGCUUCCAAAACUGCUCGUACUUGCUCUCACCUAAGGCUUGGUCCUUGAAGUACUCAAUAUCCUUCAGAAGAUCCACUGCUGGUGGCACGUCCUGCAGCCUACCCAACUGGCGCAUUACCCUAGAAGGACUGUAUGGUCUAGUGCAAUUGAGCCCUAACAUAACUAAAGGGAACUNNNNNNNNNNNNNNNNNNNNNNNNNNNNNNNNNNNNNNNNNNNNNNNNNNNNNNNNNNNNNNNNNNNNNNNNNNNNNNNNNNNNNNNNNNNNNNNNNNNNNNNNNNNNNNNNNNNUCUUGACUCAAGAAAUUCAAUCCAAGUGUCGACUCCCACGGGUAACGAGAAUUUAUCCAAAUGCAACCUGGAGUCCAUGACUUUCACUUGAUUGGGAAUACAAUGAUCUAACACGUCUGGUCUAACUAAAGAAGGCGCAUGCAAAUGCUCCAUCAUCCAUAACUGCAAUAUCAGGUAACUGCCCUCAAAAAAUCUCCUUCCCCCCUUUACUUCGGUUAAAGCCUUAUAUAUUUCUGUUAAGAUCAUGGGUAUGAGAGUGAACCUGCCCUUUUGAUUAGUGCCUUUAUCGUUUUGAUCCUUAUGAAAUAGGGCCAUCACCACAAAUUGCAAACGGGUAUUAAUACGUCUUUCUUCUAGUGGAAACAUUAAAGUACCUAACAAAGCGAGGGUGAAGACUUUAAGACGCUUUCUCUCCCACUUCUCCUUAGUCACAUGAAAUUCAUCCCAAAGGCAAUCAAAAUCUUCCGAGGGCCCGAAUCUAGCGAACAAAAAAUCUAAGGAAACCACAAGACUGCAAAAAUUUCACGCCAGUGUGAUUUCGUGCUCAGAUCAUAUCCUUCUCGAUAUAGGGCAAAUGCAAUAAACUAGAUAUUUCUGCCAAGGUAGGAGUCAUUUCACAUUCCCCAAACUUGAACACCAAACUACUUGGAUCCCAAAAGGUCAACAAAACCUCUAUUAAAUCUGGACGAGGGGUAAUAUGCAGAAGUUCCGUAAGAUCAUCUAAUAUUUUAAUCAGUUUCUGCUGAUCAACAUAGUUAAAAAUUUCCCACCACUUGAUUAACUUUUUGGGCACCUUGAAAACCAUCAAAACUCUAGACUUGGUGGACAAAUCCAUCAUGUAAUAAAACACAAGACGUUAUCUCAAAAAUUCGACAAGAGUAGAAGAUUCCCAACCCUUGGGAUUUUUGACGCAAACAUAUGUCGAUGGGACAGACCACAUUCAUAACUCCAAUUUGCCGAACAGAAGCACUUAGCGAGGUCAGUCCACUUGGCUAACAACUCUAGAUUAUGGGGCAAGAGACCUAGGCUAAUAAUAAGACAAAGGCCAACACAAAGAUUACAGUGCCCCCUAAGGGUUGCCUACGUAUCCCAACCCGAGGGAAGGGAAUCAGGUGUGCGUAGUUCAUCCAGAUUGCACAAUUAACGAUUAACUAAUAAAUUGACCCUAACUUAAGAGACACUAACCAAAAACAAACUUAAAAAAACUUUUGAAUUUUCAGCUAGACACUUUAACUAAGACUGACACCACUAAUUAUGAAGAAAAAAAAUCUUUUUUGUAUUUUUAUUUUUGACAAAUAAGUAGAAAAGGCAAACAAAACUCUUUUUUUUUUUUUGAAUUUACGGUACUUUGAGAAGACAAAUGUAAAACGUAAAAAAAAAUCUUUUUGAGUUUUGGAUCGUGAAGAACAAAAGCCAUAAAGAAUUCUAAAAUAAACUACGACAUUCCUUUUGAUUCAUCUUUUUCGACUCACCUUUUUUCUAUAUAUUUUUUUUUAAAUCAGUCCGUCAAAUGACCACGUUACCCUUAAAAAUGCAACAGUUAGCACGUAGGGAUGCUUUAGAGGUGAGUCUACUACAAAGGGCCACGUGGGUCUCGCUAGGUCUCCGUAUGAUGCACAUAAGCAUGACCUAAAGGCUGACCUACGUUGUGGUUCACUAACAAGGCUGUUCGGGGGAGCGUAUGGUCGAUAGUGGUUGCUUUGCUUUCCAUCUACUUCAUAACACCGACGGCUCCCCCCUAAAAUAAGGGUGACUCAACUAGAGGUUGUGUACAACACGUGUAAUACGGACUUGUUACAGAAAGAGGGCCGGGGGGUGGACUCAUGAUGACAGAUAUAAAGCGGUAACACAUAGGAUAAAUAUUAUAAACAAAGAGCACAAAAACGCACAAAAGUGAAAAUAACAUCAACAAUAAUCACAAACAAUGCUUAUACAUUUGUAAUGCCAAACAAAGCCGAUACGACUCAAAAAUAAGCCCGCAUUCUCAUACUGGUCUCCCCAGCAGAGUUGCCAGAGCUAUCACACCCCCUUUUUCGACUCCAAAAAGAAUGUUUAUAGUUUAAAGUUCGAAAGGGUUUUAUUAUUUAAGUGAAAAGAAAUGAAAAUUGUUUGUUUCGAAGAAGGAUUGUUUUUACAUUUUUUUUUUUGAAAUCAGAGUCGCCACUUGGCAUAAUCUGGUGUGCCAGGUCACCAUUAGAAAAUCCUUUUCAAAACCAUUUGAUUCUUUAAACUGGUUUGCGAACAGAGAUUCUGGCUAAGGAAUUCUGUUGACCGAGGGGAAGGUGUUAGGCACCUCUCGAUCCCGUGGUUCAACCACGGUCGCUUGGUAGAGUGUAUCGACUAUUUUUGGCACUAAGAAAUGUAUAAACCACACAAAAGCAUGCAAGAUAAUCAAACAAAACAAAACAAUCUGAAAUGUAAAGUCCAGUCCAAUUAUACAGUCCAAAAAUAGAAAAAUACGAAAAUAUAAAUCAUAUUCUAAGCUAAUCCUAAAACUACGCUCCCAUGCCUUACCCGAUGCCUCGGGCCUUGAUCACGGGCCUCCUCUGUGUACAUGAUACUUCGGGGCAUUCCCCGGUGAAUAAAUACAAUGUGUCUCGGGGCAUUCCCCGACUAAAUGAAUACAUUUUCUCAAUUUUUGUGCGUUAAAAUUGAAAGAACCAUUCAACAAAUAUUCACACGUUCACCAAAAUCAUAAUCCUCCAUUUUUCUACAAUUUACCUACCCAAACUUAGUAUUUGCCGACCCCUUUAACGAUCUAACACAUGAUACUAUCAAUGUCAAUACUAUCCAAAAAUGAAUAAAAACUAAUGAACGUUCAUCUUAUUCGAUUCUCAACUCUUCCCCCCCAAAUUUCUUUCUCAACAUGAUUAAACCAAUUCAAUACGCAAUCCACCAAUCAAGUCUUCAUAUUCAAAUCCCAAAUCAACCAACAUAAAAACAGAGAUUCAAACAUAUCAAAUAACAAAUCAUUCAUAUUCACAUAAAAAAAAUUUAAAAAAAAAAAGGAAGAUAGAAUUGGACCUCAAGUGUCGCUUUCAAUAUAUCGGAGAUAGAACCACGCCUGAGAACCUCAACUUCUAGCUCAAUUUUAUUCCGAACACUUAGCGAUGGAUUUGGAGCUCACGAACCAAGACCUCGAUUCAACGAAUUCAACAUGGACCCGACAACUCGAUAAAAUUCAUAAAAAACGAACAUACCCAAAAGACCAACGAUUCAAACUGAAAUUUAUGGACUGUUUUGACCUCGGAUUCUGCUACUUACCUGAGUUUCGGAAAGCUCAGAAAGCGCCGAAAGAUGAUAACAACCCAAUUUUAAGGUAACCGUGGUGUUUUCCGGAGAACAGCUCGGCGAAAAUGUUAACCUCGACUUCUCCCUCGCAGCUCUCUCUCCCUCUCGCAGCUCACUCUCCCUCUCUUGCAGCUCUCUCUCGCAAUUUUCAGUGUAUGGGUGGAACUCGUGAAUGGCCCAAAAUCCCCAUCCCCUUCUUUGUUUGUAUUCAAUGAAUAAGAGCCUGGAAUAUUGGAACCAAAAUAUGGUGUAUAUGUUCCAAAUCCGUGAUUUUAUUUGGUGAGAGGAGUGACGUGUGUUUGGUGAGGAUGAGUGAUGACGGAGAGUGUUUUUUGUGAGGGAAUCGUGAGUGGUCUGGCAAAAAUGGCGUCUUCUUUUCUUGAAGAUUAUGACGAUGUUUUUCCUUGUGGGCCCCCUGUGGAGAAGAAGCUGUGUAUGUAUAUGUGGCUGUGAGGGUGUUUUUGUGAAGAAGAAAGGAAGCCAAAAAUUUUUCCCUCUUUCUGUAUCCGAGCCCCCCUCCUUUUAUGAUCAGAAUCAUGACAAA
rnacentral:lncRNA from 1 species